UCUAAAUCUUUACACUUAUUAGAUGCUUAUAGUGCAUUGCUUGACAUACUUACCUGAUAAUGUAACUGUGACAGCUCUAUCUAUUGGGGAAUGCAUCAGUGGAAUCACUAUCUAGCGCAGAAUACUCUAAGCUGACAUCAACAUUUUCAGGUCAGAUCUGUGAUUGUUGAAGUGAGGGAAAGAUUUCAAUCACAUUCAAUGAGGUCAUACAGAGCCAGAUUUCUGAGAAUAUAUGAACUCUGCCUGAAUGACAAUGAGACAUCUUUCUUGGGCAUGGAGCAAGUCCAACAAUUUUCCUCCUUCUCAUCAGUAUCGCUGCAGGAGAGCUUAAUGAUCAACACCUUGCAGUUUAAUCUUUCAGUGCCUACUCCUUAUGUUUUCAUGAGGCACUUUCUUAAAAUUGCAAGUUCUUUCUACUUGUUAGGGAAGAUAAUCUUUUAGUUUGUGCACAUGAGGAUCUUUUAGUUUGUCCACAAGAGAAUCUU